UCGGGAAUUUUGGGCAAUGGGGGAAACCCUGACCCAGCAACGCCGCGUGAAGGAUGAAGUAUUUCGGUAUGUAAACUUCGAAAGAAUAGGAAGAAUAAAUGACGGUACUAUUUAUAAGGUCCGGCUAACUACGUGCCAGCAGCCGCGGUAAUACGUAGGGACCAAGCGUUGUUCGGAUUUACUGGGCGUAAAGGGCGCGUAGGCGGCAUGACAAGUCACUUGUGAAAUCUCUGGGCUUAACCCAGAACGGCCAAGUGAUACUGUCGCGCUAGAGUGCAGAAGGGGCAAUCGGAAUUCUUAGUGUAGCGGUGAAAUGCGUAGAUAUCAAGAGGAACACCUGAGGUGAAGACGGGUUGCUGGGCUGACACUGACGCUGCGGCGCGAAAGCUAGGGUAGCAAACGGGAUUAGAUACCCUGGUAGUCCCUGAGCGGGCUGGCAAGGCGCAU
rnacentral:rRNA from 1 species